rnacentral:tRNA from 1 species
GUGGGUGUAGUUCAGUUGGUUAGAAUGCCAGAUUGUGACUCUGGAGGUCAUGGGUUCAAGUCCCAUCACUCACCCCA